rfam:Candidatus Giovannonibacteria bacterium RIFCSPHIGHO2_12_FTLL_43_15 rifcsphigho2_12_scaffold_2898, whole genome shotgun sequence.
AAGAUACGUUGGGUGAUCGCUCCCGCCUGAUUGCGAAGCUUUUGUCGGGAGAGGAAAGUCCGAACACCAAUUUAAAAUGGCAAUGGCUAACGGCCAUGCUUUGCCGCAAUAAGCAAAGACGGAUAGUGCCACAGAGACAAUACUAACCGCGAUUAAUAUCGAGGUGAAAGGUGAAAAGUAUCCUGUAAAAGGAUUCGCUCCGGACGCAAGGUCGGAGCGUGGAAAACCCUGCCUGGUGCAAGGCCGUGCUCCGACGCAAGGUCGGAGAGUGCNNNNNNNNNNNNGCCGUAAGACGGGAUCGAGAUAAAUGAUCACACAGUCCGACUUAGGUCGGAUGGACAGAAUUCGGCUUAUAGACGUAUCACUAAA